UACACUCCUGCGGGAGGCAGCAGUGGGGAAUUUUGGACAAUGGGCGAAAGCCUGAUCCAGCAAUGCCGCGUGUGUGAAGAAGGCCUUCGGGUUGUAAAGCACUUUUGUCCGGAAAGAAAUCCUUGGCUCUAAUACAGUCGGGGGAUGACGGUACCGGAAGAAUAAGCACCGGCUAACUACGUGCCAGCAGCCGCGGUAAUACGUAGGGUGCGAGCGUUAAUCGGAAUUACUGGGCGUAAAGCGUGCGCAGGCGGUUUGCUAAGACCGAUGUGAAAUCCCCGGGCUCAACCUGGGAACUGCAUUGGUGACUGGCAGGCUAGAGUAUGGCAGAGGGGGGUAGAAUUCCACGUGUAGCAGUGAAAUGCGUAGAGAUGUGGAGGAAUACCGAUGGCGAAGGCAGCCCCCUGGGCCAAUACUGACGCUCAUGCACGAAAGCGUGGGGAGCAAACAGGAUUAGAAACCCCAGUAGUCCCAUG
rnacentral:rRNA from 1 species